GCGGCGCCCGCAGCCCCACGACGCACCGGCCGCACGACGGCGCUUUACGACGAUGCCGCAAACCAACCCCGCGGCCUGCCCGCCUGACCCCCCGUCUGCGCAGGCGCACGGAGAAUCAGACUAACCUUGAACCAGUGAUCCUCCUACCUCAGCCUUCAGUGCUGAGAUACUGUGCUGCUAGUUCUGUGUCAACGUCAUACAAGCUACAUUCAUCUGGGAGCAGGAACCUCAGUUGAGAAAAUGUCCGCACCAGAUUGACCUGUGGGAAAACCUGUGGGGCAUUUUCUUGAUUGACUAUUGAUGAAGGCAGGCCCAGGACCCUUGGGCAAGUGGUCCUGGAUUCUAUGAGAAAGCAGGCUGAGCAAGUCACUAGGAGCAAGCCAGUAAGCAGCACCCCUCCAUGGCCUCUGUGUCAGCUCCUGCCUCCAGGAUCCUGCCCUGCUGAGUUCCCGCCUCCAGGUUCCUGUCCUGCUGAGUUCCCGCCUCCAGGAUCCUGCCCUGCUGAGUUCCCGCCUCCAGGAUCCUGCCCUGCUGAGUUCCCGCCUCCAGGAUCCUGUCCUGCUGAGUUCCCACCUCCAGGAUCCUGCCCUGCUGAGUUCCCGCCUCCAGGUUCCUGCCCUGCCGAGUUCCCGCCUCCAGGAUCCUGUCCUGCUGAGUUCCCACCUCCAGGAUCCUAUCCUACUUGAGUUCCCGCCUCCAGGAUCCUGCCCUGCUGAGUUCCCGCCUCCAGGAUCCUGCCCUGCUGAGUUCCCGCCUCCAGGAUCCUGCCCUGCUGAGUUCCCGCCUCCAGGUUCCUGCCCUGCCGAGUUCCCGCCUCCAGGUUCCUGUCCUGCUGAGUUCCCGCCUCCAGGAUCCUGCCCUGCUGAGUUCCCGCCUCCAGGAUCCUGCCCUGCCGAGUUCUUGUCCUUGUGGUGGACUGUGAUAGAGAACUGUAAACUGAAAUAAACCUUUCCUCCUCAA